GGAUUGUGGCUCAGUGGUAGAGUGCUUGCCUAGCACAUGGGAGGCACUGGGUUUGAUCCCCAGCACCA
rnacentral:tRNA from 1 species